rnacentral:tRNA from 1 species
CGCCGACCCCGGCCGGGGACUGGGCGGUGACGUGCCCCGCGUCAUUGGGAUCCCCGGUCCAGGCCAGCAGGUUCUGGUCCUGCGGCCGGGGCCC